UGAGGAAUUGAAAAACGGUAUGGUUGAAAGAAAUGGGGCUAAAAGGAAGUGGCUAAUAAGUCUGGCUGCAGGUCUGACUGGCUGACUUCCUGCAAAAUGAGAAAUGAUGUGACUAAACUCAACAAAAAGAAGAAACUGUAUUAUGAAGCCAAGAUCAAUGUUAAUGUAUAGAUGUGUGUGUGUGAUUACUAACAUAACAGGUUAGGAUUACUAAUGGAGCAGGUUAGGAUUACUAAAGUAGCAGGUUAGGAUUACUAAUGGAGCAGGUUAGGAUUACUAAAGUAGCAGGUUAGGAUUACUAAUGGAGCAGGUUAGGAUUACUAAAGUAGCAGGUUAGGAUUACUAACGUAGAAGAUUAGGAUUACUAACAUAGCAGGUUAGGAUUACUAACAUAACAGGUUAGGAUUACUAAUGGAGCAGGUUAGGAUUACUAAAGUAGCAGGUUAGGAUUACUAACAUAGCAUGUUAGGAUUACUAAAGUAGCAGAUUAGGAUUACUAAAGUAGAAGGUUAGGAUUACUAAAGUAGAAGGUUAGGAUUACUAACGUAGCAGGUUAGGAUUACUAACGUAGAAGGUUAGGAUUAUUAAUGUAGCAGGUUAGGAUUACUAAAGUAGCCGGUUAGGAUUACUGAAGUGGCAGGUUAGGAUUACUAAAGUAGCAGGUUAGGAUUACUAAAGUGGCAGGUUAGGAUUACUAAAGUAGAAGGUUAGGAUUACUAACGUAGCAGGUUAGGAUUACUAACGUAGAAGGUUAGGAUUAUUAAUGUAGCAGGUUAGGAUUAUUAAAGUAGCAGGUUAGGAUUACUAAAGUGGCAGGUUAGGAUUACUAAAGUAGAAGGUUAGGAUUACUAAAGUAGCAGAGUAGGAUUACUAAAGUAGCAGUUAGGAUUACCAACGUAGCGGGUUAGGAUUACUAAAGUAGCGGGUUA
rnacentral:lncRNA from 1 species